ACAGUGGUAGUUCAGUGGUAGAAUCCUUGCCUUUCAUACAGGAGACUUGAGUUCAACUCCCUGCCAGUGUA
rnacentral:tRNA from 1 species